AGACCUUUGCCUUUACUCAGGAUGGCACUGACCAUAGCAACUGACACGCCCGCGAAGGAGGCAAGAGCUAGGAGUCCUCCCACGAAGCUGAAGACCAACAGGACCCAUUUCUGCAGCGACGACAUGACGGUAUUUGCUGAGCUAAUCUGCGACCCAGAUUGGAGCUCUCGUUCAAAAACAAAGGGCAGGUUGUGACAGGUGCCAGAGAACGACAGAUAUACAAGACAAUGGCUGUUAUUCCACUCAUGAUGCCCUGGGAGACACAGGAAGUGGAUGUUCAGUUCAGAUGACCCCCAAAAACCGUUCCUCACAUUACACCUACAGGCGUCCAUGGAACAACAGUUCUAGU